AACGGCCAUACCAUGCUGAAUAUACCGGUUCUCGUUAGAUCACCGAAGUCAAGCAUCAUUGGGCGCGGUCAGUACUUGGGUGGGUGACCACCUGGGAACCCCGCGUGA
rnacentral:rRNA from 1 species